GGCUGAUCACACUUGCUGAUCACAUCUGUCAAAUUAUCACACAAGAUUUUGCUAGAAAUCAAGUUUCCUCGCAGACUCCCCAGCAGCCUCCUACUUCUACAUUCCAGAACUCACCUUCUGCUUUGGUAUCUACACCUGUGAGGACUAAAACAUCAAACCGUUACAGCCCAGAAUCCCAGGCUCAGUCUGUCCAUCAUCAAAGACCAGGUUCAAGGGUCUCUCCAGAAAAUCUUGUGGACAAAUCCAGGGGAAGGUAUGAUCUUUAUUCCAAAUUAUAUAUAAAUUGCCCAACAGUAAAACAAAUGGAAUAUAUCUACAGGAUAAGGAAUUUGUUUCUCACAACUAAAGUUCAUUUGCCUUUAUUCCCAGGAAAGUGUAAAUGAGCUUUCUUCCCCCUGCAUAUUAUUCUUAGAAUGUCCACUGUCUUGGCAUUUGGUACUAUGACUUUUUAAUGUAUAUUCAAAAGAUGAUUAUAUUCUAUUUGUUGGUUUGUAAAGACAGUUAAGAAGAAUGUGUAGUUUGGUAGUGGUUUGGGGACACUUCAGUGGUGCUUCCGAAUAAUACCUCUCAUAUUUAUCUGUCUCAAUGGUUUCUACUGGGUCAGCAUCAGUAGAAGUUUAAGAAGGUGAUAUUGGCCAGACAUAGUGGCUUAUACCUGUAAUGCUAGCACUUUGGGAGGCUGAGGUAGGAGGAUUGCUUGAGCCCAGGAAUUUGAGACCAGCCUGGGCAACAUAGUGAGAUCUCAUCUCUACAAAAAAAAAGUUUAUAUAUUUUUUGUUUGUUUGUUUGCUUG
rnacentral:lncRNA from 10 species